rnacentral:misc_RNA from 1 species
AACCUUAUGGACCUGCGGGCGUAUACCUGCGGAAGGAUCAUUACUGAAGCAUUUGCAAUGGUUUUGUUGCUGCCUUGAAAAAGGAUUGUGCACACCAUUCAAUCUUCUAUUUACCCACCUGUGCACCUUUCAUAGGCUUACGUUGAAUAAGUUGUCACCGUAAAAUGUGGAUGUGGGAGCGUAGCCCGUAGCUUGUUCUCAACUGUUAUUCAACUGUCUAUGUCAUUUUUAUACACACUA